UACGGAGGGAGCUAGCGUUGUUCGGAAUUACUGGGCGUAAAGCGCACGUAGGCGGUUUGUUAAGUCGGAUGUGAAAUCCCUCGGCUCAACUGAGGAAGUGCAUCCGAAACUGGCAAGCUUGAGUACGAAAGAGGGUCGCGGAAUUCCCGGUGUAGUGGUGAAAUGCGUAGAUAUCGGGAGGAACACCAGUGGCGAAAGCGGCUACCUGGCCCAUUCUUGACGCUGAGGCGCGAAAGCUAGGGGAGCGAACGGG
rnacentral:rRNA from 1 species